rnacentral:rRNA from 1 species
CCCUUAGAUGUCCGGGGCUGCACGCGCGCUACACUGAAGGAAUCAGCGUGCUAAAACCAUUGUCGAAAGGCAUUGGUAAACCCAUUAAAAUCCUACGUGAUUGGGAUCGGGAAUUGCAAUUAUUUCCCUUGAACGAGGAAUUCCCAGUAAGUGUGGGUCAUAAGCUCGCGUUGAUUACGUCCCUGCCCUUUGUACACACCGCCCGUCGCUGCCCGGGACUGAGCCGUUUCGAGAAAAGCGGGGACUGCUGCUGUCGGGGCUUUCGGGCCUUGGCUUCGGUGGAAACCGCUUUAAUCACAGUGGCUUGAACCGGGCAAAANUCGUANCA